ACGCAUGAGUGUUUUUUAUUAUCUCGUUCUUUCUUACCCAAUAACUGAAUUUAUUUGAAUAUAAAAGGAUGCGUGUGGAAGCUCUAUGGGCUGUUUGUACAAUUACAAGAUUCAUUUCCAUUAUUUAAUCUUAAUCCCCCUUCCCCACAAAAAAAGUCAAAACAGCCAGUACAUGGCUGCUUGUUUAUCGAAAAGUUUACUUUAACUGAACUUACAUAUGCUGUUUUUGUUACAUAUGUCCCUUUUCCCACUUUAUUUGUAUGCCUACGGCUUACGUGUAUGAUUUCUGUGAACAGGUUCUCAUUCCCAUGACCUGUUAUGAGUUCAUGCCAUGGAUACGCUGAUGGUGAGGACCUCUACUAGGUGACAUGAGUCUCCGGACCACCGGUCCCGGUUCUGGAUGCAAAGUGAGGACCUCUGUGCGGAGAGGUGAGCGAGGGAGACGGGCGGCAUUCGGGCGACGGAGACGACGGGGACGGGGACAGCGGCAGCAGCAGCAGCUGCCGCGAUUUUCUCGCGCCGUGAUUAAAUACUUCUUGUGUCUUCUCCGCCGCUAUAAUCCGUGUAGCACAGAAAAGGGGGGCUGCGGGAGGAUAAUCGUGAAUGGACCCCUGAAUCAUUCCAGCUGGCUGCAUCUCAAACAGCGCCGUGGAGAGAAUGGGAUUGGGCUCCCUUGUUCUGUCACAAGAGCGGCAGCAUUUUAAGGAGUUUCUCCCAGAAAUCGUUCCGGAACGCGCGGCGUCUCCCUUUCUCUUCACCCCGACGGCAGGCACAUUUCGGCUGGAGAAGGUAAGUGAACGCGCCGACUCCCCCAGCCCAUGUUUGGGGUGGGAGCUGAGCGAACGAAAUACCGGUAGCGUAGGCUAUACUGAUUAUAAGUUUGCGAGCAUCCGUCUAAUGCGCGUGUAGUUUUCACUUGCUUCUUAGGUGCAUCUCCGAACACCCAUCCUUGGCUUUUGUUAUCGUACGACUCUGAAAACAGACAGGGUCCUCCUUAGGUCCUGCGCAUGCGAUGGUUAUUUCGGGGGCAAUGUUCACCGCCAGAUAGAUUGGGAAUUAGUUUUAUUUUGAUCGUAAUCGCAUCCUAUCAUGUGUUUUUUUUUUACGACAGAGAGACAAUAGAUAUUCGCAGCGUGUAGCCUACAUGCGCGGGUCCAACCCGAUAGCCUUUUAAAACAAUAUUUUUUUAAAGGCAAAUUAACUACGUACAAUUACAGUAAUACUAUGCGCACAAAUACACAAUAGGGACAGAGUGCAAAGGAUGCAAUUAGGAAAGUGAUUCUGAGAUGGAAAUACGCGGGCAUGCGUUUCAGUUCUGAUUUAUUAUUGCAUAGAGCACGUGAAAGGGUAACGGGGGUUAACUACAUCAAAGGCUAUGUUGCAGAACUGCCCGAGGAACAUUAGUAAACCACACAGGUCGUCGUCUCUUAUGGGAAAACUUUAAAUUCUCACUUACGGCGCACGUACGCUCUUCGUUAAAACACAAAAACACACGGUUUAUACAACGUGCAUUUGAGUGAGAAAUGUAAAUGAAUAGCAUUCAGAUAACUGCGUGCCGUUUUGAAACAUUUUUGUGCAAAGGUUUCUAAACGCAUGCAUUGUUUUUUUUCAUUAUAUUUAUCAGUACGAACUUUUUAAACAUAUAAUUUUUUACCUACACGAUGAAACAGGCUACAUUUGGACACUUGCAUCAAGUUACGUUGAAGUUGUUUCCUAUUGACAUGUUGGCAAUAGCUGCCCCCUAGCGGUGGAAGUUCACUUCAUGGAAAAUAGAAGCUUUUCUGGCCGAUGCGCGCUCGACGCACGCGCCGUAGAGGCUCCCGUGCCCGAAGGCAUCACUCAUCCGCGGAGAUAAGUAGUAGCGCGUGUUUCCAAGUUAACAUGACAGUGCGGAAAUGUGGAGCCGCAUAAAAAAAAGCAUCUGGCACAGUCCUGAGACUUUAUUCCAUAAAUCAGAUGCGACCACGGUGUGCGAAACCGUUGACAUUCGGCCCCAGAUCUCCUUCUUUGCUGGAAGGGGGGGGGAUGAUUAAAAAAAAAGAACAGAAAUGGGGUACUUUUUGUGGGCCUAUAUAUAUCUUGUUUCCCGUGGGCGUGAAGCAGCUAUUGGGCUUGAUUUGUCUGCGCCGGUGAAGGAGGCACAGGUGUUCGACAGGAAAACAAAACACGGACUCUCUUUUCUGCUGCACUAAAUUGCUCUGAGACCUUGCUGUGGGUGAGAGGGCCGUCUUUCUUCUAGCAUGCAUACAUUCAGACGCUAAUCCCCCCUUCCUUUUUUCCUCGCUGUAUUACAUAAUUCAUUUUGAUCCUCGCGGUUUCUGAGCCUCCUUGCCUCUUUUCCUCGGGAUUCAAUCAGAGAAUGGGAUUAUCUUGAGCCGGAAUCUCAUGAAAAUUUUAUUGAAUUAAUUGCCUCAAUUGUCUUAGUGCGGCUGUGUAAAAAGCAGGGAAUUGAAAUAGUCAUUUAAAGUUGAUGUUGGAUUGGUUAGUUUUUGCCACUGCUUAACCGAAAUUAUAGUUUGGAAUGAAGUCGCAUUUGUCCGUCUUUGUUAUUUUCUUUUAUCGGGAUAAUUACUUGCUGCAUACUGAAGUGAGCUGGCGGUGGUACAGCAAUAAUAUCUUCUUAAGACUGAUUCUGAAUUAAGCCCCCUUUGUUAAAAGGGUUUGUGGCGGCAUUUCAAUGAAUGCAUUUUUUCCUGUAGACAUAUACUCACCAAAUAAACACGCCGUUUGUUAUCGCUGCCAAUUCAGCCGGCUUAUUAUAGAAGAUGAGCAAAUAGAACCUCUGGUUACAGUUUUUUUUUUUUUUUUUUUUUUUUUGUUCUCCCACAAUCCCCGUGUGAAGUCAGCGGCAGCCAAUCGCGGCCCCUGUUUGCCGAAUCCUCUGCCACCCUGGGGAACCCGCGGCCACAGCUGGCAAAGUGACAGUGUGCUGAUUGAAAACAACCUGGAGGCUUCAAGUGCUCC